GACGAACGCUGGCGGCGUGCCUAAUACAUGCAAGUCGAGCGGACUUUCAAGAAGCUUGCUUUUUGAAAGUUAGCGGCGGACGGGUGAGUAACACGUGGGCAACCUGCCUGCAAGACGGGGAUAACUCCGGGAAACCGGGGCUAAUACCGGAUAAUAUCUUCCUUCGCAUGAAGGAAGGUUGAAAGGCGGCGCAAGCUGCCGCUUGCAGAUGGGCCCGCGGCGCAUUAGCUAGUUGGUGAGGUAACGGCUCACCAAGGCGACGAUGCGUAGCCGACCUGAGAGGGUGAUCGGCCACACUGGGACUGAGACACGGCCCAGACUCCUACGGGAGGCAGCAGUAGGGAAUCUUCCGCAAUGGACGAAAGUCUGACGGAGCAACGCCGCGGGAGCGAAGAAGGUCUUCGGAUCGUAAAGCUCUGUUGUCAGGGAAGAACAAGUACCGUUCGAACAGGGCGGUACCUUGACGGUACCUGACCAGAAAGCCACGGCUAACUACGUG
rnacentral:rRNA from 1 species